GGUGGCGCAGCAGCACUUCCUUCCUAACAGGACUUGGGGUCCCGGUGCUGCUUCCUGCUGUGGGCACCUCCCUGCUCCCGCGGGGGUAGGGGUGCCUGGGGACACGGCAUCCUGGGGGCAGCUGCACCUUGCCUGCCCUCCUCCACCGGCAGUGAAGGUGCAGCGAUGCAGCUGGCUUCUGCUGGAGGUUGUGAGCAAGAAACGCCAGAAGCUGCCCAACAGCGUGAAGCUCUCCGUUCCGGAGAAGCCGUAGGGAGGAUGACGGCAACGACGGAUGUUAAUGAAGAGCAGCCUGCAGAGGAAAAAAGAAAGGAUGUGGGGAGAGGGGUGCCCUCCGGCUGAGGAGGGGACCCCGUGCGUGGAGGUCCACUGUCUGCUCCAUAGCCAAGGUGGCCUUGCUGUUCUUUAGGGUCUGACCCUGCUCUCGUCUUCAUGCCCGUCUUCUGUCUGACGGCCAUGUGCAGGUUCAGCUGCCUCCAGCUCUUCUCCCCGACUUGCUUUCCCGUGCUGUGGAGGAAGGGCACGUCUCCGCAGCUGACAUCUCCCUUGGGCCUGCGCUUGCACCGAGCCGCUGCCAGAACGGGAACUGCAGGCGUCUGUUGAAC